ACACGCAUGGACGUCCCCGCUGCAUCCCCUCGCUGUGUUCCCGGCCCGAGCGUGUGUCACCGAGGCCGCGGCGCACCUCAGAGGCAGCGCUUGGACCGGGGAAGUGAUGUUUGAUCCGAUUCAGAACUUUAACACCCAUAUUCUUCAGCGUAUCGGCACCUCAGUUCGCCCGGUUGAAAAGCCUCUUGUGGAAGUUCCCUGGGAUUUUCAUGGAGUGUUUUUGUGAUCUUAAUAGUUUUACGCGACUUCUGGCUUAGUUCGCCUGGUUGAAAAGCCUCUCGUGGAAGUUCCCUGGGAUUUUCAUGGAGAGUUUUUGUGAGCUUGAUAGUUUUACACGACUUCUGGCUUAGUUCGCCCGGUUGAAAAGCCUCUCGUGGAAGUUCUCUGGGAUUUUCAUGGAGAGUUUUUGUGAGCUUGAUAGUUUUACACGUCUUCUGGAACGGGAAAAACACUACCCAUGAAAACCCGUUAACCUUCCCCGUGGCAGCCCGAUGCGUUUAAGAAUAUGGAUCCAGAGUCUGAGUUUCCUGUCGGUUCAGAUGUCGUUGUUUUCCCGCAUUGUUUUGUCUCUUGAGGUGCGUCGCGUCCUCGGAAAUGUACUCCGUUUACGCUAGGGUCGCGAAGAAGCCCCGCCCAUCUCUCUGUCGCGUCUCUGACUGGCUAGUUUAAGAGAAAGCCACGCCCCCUCUCUCAGUCUCGUCUUUCAUUGACUAGUUCAUAUUAAGCCACGCCCCUUUUCCGUCUUAGGCUGCAUGUGAUUGGUGGAUGCCGGGGGAGAGUCGAAAUCUUAUUGGCGGGUGGUUGGGUGAUGUGGGCGGGGCUUAUUCGUGAGGUUAGCGUGAACGGAGAGUACUGGACGCUGAAUGACCUGACCUCAGUUCUUGCCAGGUUCUGUGAGGUUUUCUUGAAGUUACCCCGUCAUGCCUAGCCUGUCAGUUAACGCUCACCACCUCCUCCUCCUCCUCCUCCUCCUCUCUGCCUCGUCUCCCCCAAUGAAGACCACAAGAUGCAUUGAAUAAUCAAGAUCAAAGCUGUCCCUGGCAUUCUCAGCACCUCGACCUUCACUUAGCACUCUUGCCUCAGUGAUUUAGUGACAAGAAAACAAAGAAAAAAAGUCAUAUAGUUAAGAAAAUGAACACAUACGAAAUUUGUCUUAAAAGCUUCCAUUCUUGAUAUCUUUUUGUUUUGGUUUUCCUCUUCAAUCCUUGUUUUCGCUGGGCUCACUCUCACCCAAAUAGAAAAAAAGAAACCAAAUACCAAUUCCAUGUGUAUAACUCUACCCUCAAACUUGACAUUCGUACGAAGCAGACAGUAUCAUGUGUGUGGCGUGGCCUUGCUCUAGUCCUCGGUAUCUUGUGGGUGUGGAGAGCGCCGAAAGAGUGUGUGCUGGUGAAGGUUUCCCUCUUGUUAACACACUAAGCCUAGCGCUGAGGAGCCUCGAGGUAAGGUAACCGUAGCUAUAGCACAAGCUUCCUCGUCUCCUGUCCUCGCUGCCGCUGAUGAUGAUGUUGAGGCUGUUCUUUCCGCUGCUCUUUUGUUCUGUUUCUCACGCUUACCAACCCUUUCUGUCUGUGUUGGUUUGUACUCGUUGUCACUCGUGCAUGGGUUCCUCACUCACUACAUGACCUUAGAAACUCCACAAAUACAUAAGCAAUAUAUUCCAAUACAUAAGAAGAAGUAGAAAGACAUAUAGACAUAGGAAACUUGGACAAAUAAGCUCCUCACUCACUACUUGACCUCAGAAACUCCACAAAUACAUAAGCUAUAUAUUCCAAUACUUAAGAAGAAGUUGAGAGACAUAUAGACAUAGGAAACUUGGACACAUAAACUCCUUUCUGUCAAUACCUUCGGAAAGACUUCAAUGAAACACACACACACACACACACACACACACACACACACACACACACACACACACACACACACACACACACACACACACACACACACACACA